UACGUAGGCAGCAAGCGUUGUUCGGAGUUACUGGGCGUAAAGGGUGCGUAGGCGGUUGUUUAAGUUUGGUGUGAAAUCUCCCGGCUCAACCGGGAGGGUGCGCCGAAUACUGAACGGCUAGAGUGCGGGAGAGGAGAGUGGAAUUCCUGGUGUAGCGGUGAAAUGCGUAGAUAUCAGGAGGAACACCGAUAGCGAAGGCAGCUCGCUGGGACGGUACUGACGCUGAGGUGCGAAAGCGUGGGGAGCGAACAGG
rnacentral:rRNA from 1 species